rnacentral:rRNA from 2 species
AGAGUUUGAUNCAUGGCUCAGGACGAACGCUGGCGGCGUGCCUAAUACAUGCAAGUCGAGCGGACUUGCUGGAGCUUGCUCCAGCAGGUUAGCGGCGGACGGGUGAGUAACACGUGGGCAACCUGCCUGUAAGACUGGGAUAACUCCGGGAAACCGGAGCUAAUACCGGAUAGUAUCUUGAACCGCAUGGUUCAAGUUGGAAAGACGGUUUCGGCUGUCACUUACAGAUGGGCCCGCGGCGCAUUAGCUAGUUGGUGAGGUAAUGGCUCACCAAGGCAACGAUGCGUAGCCGACCUGAGAGGGUGAUCGGCCACACUGGGACUGAGACACGGCCCAGACUCCUACGGGAGGCAGCAGUAGGGAAUCUUCCGCAAUGGACGAAAGUCUGACGGAGCAACGCCGCGUGAGUGAUGAAGGUUUUCGGAUCGUAAAACUCUGUUGUUAGGGAAGAACAAGUGCGAGAGUAACUGCUCGCACCUUGA